AUUGAACGCUGGCGGCAGGCCUAACACAUGCAAGUCGAGCGAGCGGCGGACGGGUGAGUAAUGUCUGGGAAACUGCCUGAUGGCGGGGGAUAACUACGGGAAAAGGUAGCUAAUACAGAAUACCAUCAGAUGUGCCCAGAUGGGAUUAGCUAGUAGGGGGGGUAAUGGCUCACCUAGGCGACGAUCCCUAGCUGUUCUGAGAGGCUGACCAGCCACACUGGGACUGAGACACGGUCCAGACUCCUACGGGAGGCAGCAGUGGGGAAUAUUGCACAAUGGGCGCAAGCCUGAUGCAGCCAUGCCGCGUGUAUGAAGAAGGCCUUCGGAUUGUAAAGGACUUUCAGUGAGGAGGCGUUACUCGCAGAAGAAGCACCGGCUAACUCCGUGCCAGCAGCCGCGGUAAUAC
rnacentral:rRNA from 1 species